AAUGAUCGAAAAAUGUUAAAUUAGCUUUAAAUACACUCUAAUAGGAUUUGUUUGUAUGCCUUCUUUUUUAGUAUCUGUUGGUGCACCUAUCUGAUCUUUGGUCACAUGGCAGUAUCGGAAGAGGUCGACAUUAUACUAAUCUGCAGGGGAAACAGCACGUCACAUCAGUUAACUCAGAGACUCAUCACUAUUAUUCUAAACCAAAUUAGGUUAUUACUGACUUGGUGUUAUGUCAGUCAAUCUGUUAUUUGACUCACAUCAGGGGGACUUCGAUUUUAAACCAACCUCUCUUUUCCAAGGCCAUAUACAUUUCAAGCCAGCUACUCUCUAGCUAUGUUAUAGCUAUUUUUCAUGUGAAAUAACUCACAAUUUCUCUACAGCUGGCUAUUCUGCUGGCUAUUCUGUUAUAACAAACUUCUAACAAAUUAGACUAUAUACAGGGG
rnacentral:lncRNA from 1 species